UAUGCCCUAGGGCUAGUGGAAGACUUAAGAUGGCGGCGUUUGCACGGAGUGCAAUCACUGCGUCCUUACGGGGGUUGCAAGGCGUCCGAAGUAUGAGUCCACUAACAAAAGUCCAGAAACUCGCCAGUUAAUAGUAUUGUGUCUCUUCAAAAUAUCGGAGAAUAAUUUCUUUCUCGCUGAUCGCCUAACUUCUACUGACGAAGCUUGGAAGUUGCAGAAGGUUGGAGUGCAAUGGCGCGAUCUCGGCUGACUGCAACCUCCACCUCCUGGAUUCAAGCUAUUCUCCUGCCUCAGCCUGCCGAGUAGCUGGGAUUACAGGCAUGUGCCACCGCACCCAGCUAAUUUUGUAUUUUUUAGUAGAGAUGGGGUUUCUCCAUGUUGGUCAGGCUGGUCUUGAACUCCUGACCUCAGGUGAUCCGCCCACCUCAGCCUCCCAAAGUGCUGGGAUUACAGGCGUGAGCCACCGCGCCCGGCCAGAACAUUAGUUUUAAACUUCCUAACCCUUGGGAGAAGGCAAAACACUUGAUGAAAUCUACAUAAAGACUAAAACAUUUUACCAAUUUUGCAUUGUUUGUUUGAAAUUGCAUUGACGACUGAUGGAGUUCGCUCUUGUUGCCCAGGCUGGAAUGCAAUGGCAUGACCUUGGCUCACUGCAACCUCUGCCUCCCCAGUUCAAGUGGUUCUCCUGCCUCAGCCUCCCGAGUAGCUGAGAUUACAGAAACCACAAUAAAGGCUCUCGCCCACAUUCUUCCCUCACCCUCUGCCUCCUGACUGACACUGGUGCUUUCCUGGGUGAACCCU
rnacentral:lncRNA from 1 species